rnacentral:piRNA from 1 species
UUCUCUGCGUUGGGAAGAACUCUUCCUGAG